UGACAGUCUGCGCGUGAUGGUUGUCGGCGUCUUCAGCGUCGACCUAAUAGGGAAUACGGUGCAAAUCCGUGACUGCCCCCGCAACUGUAAGCGGCGAGUGCAUCGCGCAGAACCACUGGGCUGAAGCCUGGGAAGGUGCGAUCCGCAUGACGACCCGCAAGUCAGGAGACCUGCCAUCGCAUGUGAACUGAA
rnacentral:ncRNA from 1 species